rnacentral:rRNA from 1 species
UACAGAGGGGGCAAGCGUUGUUCGGAAUUACUGGGCGUAAAGGGCGCGUAGGCGGCCUUCUAAGUCGAACGUGAAAUCCCCGGGCUCAACCCGGGAACUGCGUCCGAUACUGGAAGGCUUGAAUCCGGGAGAGGGAUGCGGAAUUCCAGGUGUAGCGGUGAAAUGCGUAGAUAUCUGGAGGAACACCGGUGGCGAAGGCGGCAUCCUGGACCGGUAUUGGACGCUGAGGCGCGAAAGCCAGGGGAGCAAAGCGGG